AUGACUGCCCCCCAACCCCGUGCUCUCGAGGCAGGGGAAGGGACACUUGGAAAAGACACCAGAGACUGGGAGGGUGCAGCUGGGCUCUUCGCGGGGAGCGGGAGGGAGGCCUUCCUGUUACAUGUCGCAGCUGGAACACAGAGGGCAGUGCUCCAGGGUCCACACGCCGGUCUCAGUUCCCUCAGGCCCAGGACCAGGCUCCACACGGCCGUCGCGUCGCUUAGCCGCGUGGGCUGUAGCACAGAGGGGGCAAACACCUCCAGGGCCUUGUGCCAGAUUUCUCCUUUCGGGACAUCUCAAGAAUUGAAAGCCUGCAAGAAGUUCCAGAUAAAGAUGCAAGAUGCUGAAGAAUCAAUAACAUUCACGGAGUGCUUACUAAAUGCCAGGCACUAUUCUAAAUGCUUUGCUUUACAUGCAUAACUCACAAGGGGGAAAGCUUUGUUGCACUGACUGUUGUGCCCCCACGGACUGUGGAAUGGAGACUGUGGACUGGCAAAACGCAAAAAGCUAUGUGUGCAAGUGUCGCUUUUGAUGAUGGUAGGAAGAGAUGUGACCAUUGGACCCAUUUUAAUCACUCUCCAUCCUGCCCGACCUCCCCUCCCUGCCCUGCAACGAUAUUGGCAUUCUUCCACAUUCCAGCCAAACCUUUCCUGUCCCCACUAAGACCACGUAGGCUGUGGCGUGAUACACCGUCACCCAUACCCGUUUACUGGAAAGCUCCUCUUUGGGCAAGUGGCACUGCUCAUUGAGUUUCUGAGCAGAGCAGUUAUUGGGGUCACAGUAUGGCCCAGGGAAGAAACUCAACGACAAGUGCAGAGCGGGAGCUCUCUAGAGCAAUGUCUGAGCAUCAUGAUGGCAUGUUGGGAAAUUGAUAACUUUACUCUGCCUAAGGAGAAACCUCCGCAUGUCACCACCAAUCAUGCAAACUAGACUCUUAAAAUGAAAUUAGGCUGAAACACAACCAAUCAAAGUUGGAGUCUCAAUGGCUCUAUGACUUCAUUUAAAGUUCCAGUGCCAGCAGGAAGAAAAAAGAAAUCAAUACUACAUUUUCUUCUUCAUCAAUUUUGCUUUUUGCUAAAUGAAAAUGCUUACAUUCCUUCUCUUGCUCCCUCCACCAUCAAAGAUAUUAUUUCUCCCCACCUUAUCUUAUCUAUCCUGUGGUCACAGUUGAACUCAUGCAAAGAGGUUUAUGUAGGACAGAGUUGUGAGUGUGCCUUCUUUGUACUAAGCACUUGAAAGUAUUGUUAUCUUUCUUUUUUCUUUUUUUUUUUUUUUGAGAUGGAGUUUCGCUCUUGUUCCCCAGGCUGGAGUGCAAUGGCGCGAUCUCGGCUCACCGCAACCUCCGCCUCCUGGGUUCAGGCAAUUCUCCUGCCUCAGCCUCCUGAGUAGCUGGGAUUACAGGCACACGCCACCAUGCCCAGCUAAUUUUUUGUAUUUUUUUAGUAGAGACGGGGUUUCACCAUGUUGACCAAGACAGUCUCCAUCUCUUGACCACCUGCCUCGGCCUCCCAAAGUGCUGGGAUUACAGGCUUGAACCACCACACCUGGCCUGUUAUCUUUCAGAAAGGAGGUUAUCUCAGUUAACCAAAUACUUGCCAGUACAACAGUCCUUACUCCAUUGGCCUUUCUGAAGCAACAGCAGGGCCCUAACCAUUUUUGUGGGUGGAGAGUCGAGAGUGUGCUUACUCCAAAUAGCUAUCAAGGCCCUAAGGGCAAAUCCCAAUGUGAUGCCCUGUGCCAGACUGUCGUGCCGGGCCUUGUAGAGGGGAAUGUGAUAGGGGUGACGGGCCUGUCAUGAACUCAUUCAUGGGCUUUGGUAACAAAAGGAGUAAAGGGACCUCAUUAUAAAAUGUUCUCACCCGUUCUGUUGCAGAACUAAAAGGGUUUUGCUGAACAGUAGAGCACGCUUCCACAGCAAUCCCUCACUAGUGACCUUUAAGAGCUCUCAGUGAGCUCCUGUUUCUGUUGGCUCCGAGAUGGUCCCAAUUCAGGACUUAACUCACUUGGCAAUAUUUGGAAAGACGGAAAAAAAGAAAGAAAAAUUUGCAACAGAGGAAGAAAAAAAAAUAGUUCCACAGGCUGGAAACUCAUUUCCUGAGGAGCAGGAGCACACCACCUUGCUCUCUGGGACUCACCGAGCUCCGGGAAGCUCGACCAGUCACUUAAUGAGUCAUUGAGGACGUGUGGUUUAAUUAACUCACCCAAAAUUCCUCCUUUCCCUUUCUCACUUUUGCUAUUAAUAUUUUUCGAUAUCUGAUAAUGCAGUGUAGUUAAUUCUUUCUGGCUUUAUAAUGAACACUGCCAUAAUGAAAAAGGUUAGCAGGGCUUCAGGCAGCUUUUAAUUAGCCAGCCGAGCAGGUAAAAGCACUUUAUUCUUCUCUUUUUUUCCCCUUACUUAGCAAUUAAUGGAGGAGCUCAGUGGCACUUACUGUACCCUUUUUGUUUUCUAAUGGAUGAUGCUGCACAGAACAGAAAGGCCUUACUGUACCCCUGUUACUACCAAGUGAGGACGUUAGAGGCUGCAUCACUGCAUCUCAGGCCUCUGGCUUGUGGGUGAAAGACUUUCUGCUGCUGGCUGAAGGUUUGCCUCAUUAAAAAGCUGAGUUACCUAGAGUUGCUGUUACCAGUUCCCUGCCUUGCAUUUUCUGCCUUUGCAUCUGCAUCCAGAGACCCCCCCGAAAGGCUUUUACAGCCCAGCUGGCCUUGAUUUUUGCAAAUAUUUUUCUGCUUCUAUCUAAGUGAGCCAUGUUCCUCCCUUUCUCAUGCUAACAGCAGCCUUGGGUUAUUCUUCUUAUUUUACAGACAGAAAAACUGAGGUCCAAACUGAUUAUCUGCAUGGCCAAAAGCCCUUUUUUCCAAUUCUGAUGAUGCCAUCUCUGGAAGUGAAGAGUAGCAUCCUCAAGCUAAUUGUUGACCUACCUUAGAGGAGGAAUGUGGGGUAAGGGAGGAGGUUAGAAAUUACGGGCCACUUCCCGGUCUAUUAAUCAAUAAAUCCACGAGGAAGCAUUUUUACCUUGGUUGG
rnacentral:lncRNA from 13 species